rnacentral:tRNA from 2 species
GGCAAUAUGGCCGAGCGGUCUAAGGCGCCAGAAUCAGGUGGUUACCUCACUAAUCUGGUCCGAAAGGGCGUGGGUUCGAAUCCCACUGUUGUCA